GCCGGCGUACCCCAACUGGCAGAGGGACGGGUUUUAGGUACCCGGAAGUGCGGGUUCGACUCCCGCCGCCGGCA
rnacentral:tRNA from 1 species